GCGCGAAAACUUUACAAUGCUGGCAACAGCGAUAAGGGGACCUCGAGUGCCAGGAUACAAUCUUGGCUGUCGUGAUGCCUAAAAAGCAUUGCAUAGCAAGGGCCGGGCAAGACCGGCGUCAGCCGCCGCGGUAACACCGGCGGCUCGAGUGGUAACCGCUAUUAUUGGGUCUAAAGGGUCUGUAGCCGGCCGGAUAAGUCUUUUGGGAAAUCCAGCUGCUCAACAGUUGGGCUUUCAGAAGAUACUGUUCGGCUCGAGGCCGGGAGAGGUGAGAGGUACUUCAGGGGUAGGGGUGAAAUCUUGUAAUCCUUGAAGGACCACCAGUGGCGAAGGCGUCUCACCAGAACGGUCCUGACGGCAAGGGACGAAAGCUAGGGGCACGAACCG
rnacentral:rRNA from 1 species